CCUACGGGAGACUGCAGUGGGGGAUAUUGCACAAUGGGGGGAACCCUGAUGCAGCGACGCCGCGUGGGUGAAGAAGCGCCUCGGCGCGUAAAGCCCUGUCAGCAGGGAAGAAAAUGACGGUACCUGAAGAAGAAGCCCCGGCGAACUACGUGCCAGCAGCCGCGGUAAUACGUAGGGGGCAAGCGUUAUCCGGAUUUACUGGGUGUAAAGGGGGCGCAGACGGCGAUGCAAGCCAGGAGUGAAAGCCCGGGGCCCAACCCCGGGACUGCUCUUGGAGCUGCGUGGCUGGAGGGCAGGAGGGGCAGGCGGAAUUCCUGGUGUAGCGGUGAAAUGCGUAGAUAUCAGGAGGAACACCGGUGGCGAAGGCGGCCUGCUGGACUGCAACUGACGUUGAGGCCCGAAAGCGUGGGGAGCAAACAGGAUUAGAUACCCUUGUAGUC
rnacentral:rRNA from 1 species